ACAAGGCAUUUUAAAAUGUUGCUGGUGAAAACACGAUUUAUUUAGGAAACCCUUUUUGUUGGCUGUGGUGCAUGGUGCUGUACAUAUUCAUUCCUAUGGAGACUUGUGUUCGUAGUUUCACCUAGGGAUGUUAUAACUUGAGCUAACAGGUGUUAGAACUAACCGUAUGUUCGGAAAGAUCAGUUAUGACUAGCGAUACACACCGAACUCAUGAAUUGGCAUUUGACCAGGCAAGCCUUUGACUAGAUGUGGUCACCUAACUAUACCGAGUGUAGAGCUACUGGCCACUGCAUUGAAACGUAGCUGGCUGCAGUAAUUACUCAGCGAGAUGUGCGUGAAUGCACGAGCUCAGCUGACACAUACAACACAGACAUCAAGCAGUUGUUACAGGCUGCUAUUUAGUGGUUGUGACGGCAUUUGAUUGCGUUUUUGUUUUCAUCAUAUAACACAUUUGGCAUAACCUCUGGUAGGUACACAGAAUACAGCAGUCGGAUCACUUGUCCAUCUUGCAUUGCUCCAGGGCAGGCAGCUGUGGAGUUACGAGUUGCUAUGCAACCUGCUCCCACUGUCUGUCACAUUUUCAUUCAUAUCCGUGAAUAGCUUGGAAAGCCAGAUGCAGUCGAAUAUUAGGUUUAUGUUUCCUUGACAUUUCUGUCUCUGUUCUGACUCAGACCAUUUUCUUGUAUAGAAUUCGAGAGGCUUAUUGUAGAUCAUUGAAAGAUAUAUUCUGUAUUUCUUCCUAAUGUCCGCAAUUCUCAUCUACAGAAGUUCCCGAAGAAAGCAACAUGAUGAAGCAAAACUCCACCCUCACCACUACGUUGGAGUCUUCCCAUUCAGUCAUCAUCCAAUUUGCUCCAAACACAAGCAGACACUUCUUACAGAUGGCUGUCCUCUAGAAUGAAAAUGCACACCAACCACCGGCAAACAUCAAAAGCUAAUCCAACCUUUGGUCUUCGGAAACCCCGUGACUAAUGCAAUGUUGGUGCCCUAGAAGACAAGUCAGCGCAGUUCAGACGAGCCAGCCAGAGGAGGUCACCGCCAGCCUUGUAUCGAGGUCCCAACGUCCUUCAUCGGGGAACUCGGCAUGGAUAUGCAAGACAACACUCGAAUCACUGUUGGACAAAUGCCUGAAACGGCUGGAAAAAUAGAAAAGAUGGUUACAGAGACUGUUAUUGCUGUUCUUCUUUCAAUACAAUAUUUGCCUUCCAUAAAAUAUUCCCAUGUUCCAA